GUAGCAGCAGCAGCAGUAACAGCAACAGCAACAGCAGCACAGUCACCAGGAGACUUUAUAUCGACCUACGCAAAAAGAGAAAGAGAAAGAGAAAGAAAAAGAGAAAGAGGAGAUAGAAUGCUGCGUAAUCAUACUAUAAAUAUAAGGGUGUGUUCACUCGGAGAACUUAUUUCAGUGCUGUUUGCGUAGUUUCAAAAUUGACGUCACUCGAAGCUAACAACGAACCUGUACAGAUCCCUCGACUUCCUUUUCACAUGGUUUGUAUAUAUAUAUUUCCAUGUUACAUAUAUAUAUAUAUAUGUAUACAUGUGUGUAUUGUGUGUGUCCAUAUGUACAGGAUGGACCAAAAGUUCUUAAACUUGUAGUUUUUUUUAAAUUAAAAAAAAA